GACGUAGGGCGCGAGCGUUGUCCGGAUUUAUUGGGCGUAAAGAGCUCGUAGGCGGCUUGUCGCGUCGUCCGUGAAAAGCCACAGCUCAACUGUGGGCUUGCGGUCGAUACGGGCAGGCUAGAGUUCGGUAGGGGAGACUGGAAUUCCUGGUGUAGCGGUGAAAUGCGCAGAUAUCAGGAGGAACACCGGUGGCGAAGGCGGGUCUCUGGGCCGAUACUGACGCUGAGGAGCGAAAGCGUGGGGAGCGAACAGG
rnacentral:rRNA from 1 species